rnacentral:lncRNA from 1 species
AUGCCUGGACAUCGCUGGAGGUGCAGACACAGCUGGGGGAGCCAGGCGCCAGCAGAAGCCUCAGAGAAGACAGGGCCCUGCAACAGCCCCCAGCCUGGCCUGGGCCCUGUCCGGGGUGGCCUCUGCCCAUCCAGGGUGCGGGGUGCAGGCGAAGGCCUGGAGGCUGUGGGAGUAACUCCCGUCCUGAGCCUCCCCAGCUCCUGUGUGGACCUGCCCCGACGGCGGCUCUCAGGCCACUCUCUUUACCUGCCAAUGUGUGUCAGAGCUGGGUGGGGGGCACAGGAAGCCAGGAGGCCCCUGCUGAGCCCUGCUGAGACCAGGGUCCCUGCUCCUCCCUGCUUCUCAGGAGUCCUCUCCCCGGGGGCCGAGGAGCACCCCUCCCCCAUCGAUCAGAGGGCGGGACCAGCGGUGCUCGGAGCUGUAGGCUGGAGAAGUGGCUCCAGGAAGGCCAGGGGCGCCAGGGCUGAGGUCUCCGAGCCCCAUCUCAGCAGAGCCCCACCCCCUUCCUCCAGCCGCUCCCCAGGUCCAGGGCUGGGAGCCCCAAGGUCGGGAGUAUUGGGUACUGUAUUGGUGCCGUGGGAAUUCCCUAUUCCUGCAGCACCUGCCUGCCCCGGGGUCAAAGGCCGCGCCCUGAUAGAGCCCCUGAGGCCGGCUCAGGACUGGCCCACUGUGGGGGCCCGGCUGCCCCGCCCGCCCCGUCCUCUUUGCUCCUCUCGGAGGAGAAACCUUGAUCCCGGGUCCCCCCCACACACCUCCAGAUCCUGGGCCAGCCCAGCGGGCUUCGUGUCCCUGGCCAUGUGGGGGAGACGGAGAUACAGGGAGCUGGAGAGGUUCCGGCGUGUGGGAGGCUGGGCCAUCCAGAGCCUCCUGCCCUUCUCCUCCCGGAGACUAUCUUCCGGGGCGUGGGGGUGCUCAAGGCCAGGCUGCCGCGGUGGGCGUGGAGGGGAGGGCCCGGAAGACAGAUGCCAGGAUGCAGCAGGGGAGACUACUGUUGGCACUCAGGAGCCAGGGAGCCAGCACGCCCAGACUGCCCGCUGCCCGCCUCUGCGUCCGGCCGGCUCUCCCCAGAAGGAACAGUAA